CAUCACACGAACGUAUUAUUUUAGUGUCACGGCUGUGAAGCAUCUCAUUACAUUACAUUGUUAGUACCAAAAUGAUACGCCUGAGUUUUAAACGUUUUAUUGUUGUAAAGAACACGUCCUGAACUAUUAUAAAUAACUAAUUUCACUUCAAUGACUGCACGGUUGGCGCGGUGGCUGGGCAACCGGCUGUCACGUAACGUACAGUGAGUUCGAUUCCCACACGGAGCAACACUGUAUGAUUCACAAAUUGUUGUUUCAGUUAUGGUCGCUGGUUGUCAGUUGUGUCAGUUCGUUCGUGGGGGAUUUAACAAAGCAAAGACACACGAGAAAAUCCUAGAGUGGGGCAAUUGUUUUCUAAAGAAACUUUUGGCAUUUCAGUUCUCAGUAUUGUCUUGUGUACUUUUUAAUACUUGGAUGUUUGUGGAACUUGCCCGGAGACAACUGCGCAGGAGAGAAAGGUAAACAAAAUCAGAGUUACUUAACUUAUUUUUUUAUGACUGACUUUUAUAAUUAUGUGCAGUGCGAUACUCGCUCGGCUACGGACGUGUGUCCACUGCACGCUGUUUUCAAUAUUUCGCGGCUUGCGCGGCAAUAGGCGCUGCAUGGUGACACUAUGUGCGGUUGGGAACCCAUCCCAACCGCUCAUAGUAAACGAAUUACUAGCGUUCCAUUGACUGCACGGACGAGGUGAGCAUAUUACAAAUAUAAAAACUUUAGGCUGCAGAGCGUGCCAAACAAUUAUACAUACAUACAUACUCUCGAAAAACAUAAACCUCCUUCUGGCGCAGUCGGGUAAAAUAAUAUAUACCAAUACUAUAGACCCAUUUCAGUAUUAACAGGUCUCUCAAAAAUUUUAGAAAAAAAUAUAAAUAGUAGAUUAAUAGAUUAUCUUGAAGUUAACAAAUUGCUUUCAAAUAACCAAUUUGGGUUUAGACCAAAAAGGUCGACUAACCAAGCAGUUCACAGAUUUUCCUGGACCUCGCUAAAGCUUUUGACACAAUUUCUUGUUCUAUGUUACUACACAAGCUUGAAAAACUUGGAAUAAGAGGCAAACAACUUCAGUUGUUCACCGAUUAUCUUAGAGGUCGUCAACAAUGCGUUAAAAUAGGUCAGUACACAAGUUCUGAGAUGGAAAAUAGUGGUUUCGGAAUACCUCAAGGGAGUAUUUUGGGUCCUAAAUUAUUUUUAAUUUACAUUAAUGAUCUAUGUAGUUUGGUCCUUCGUAAUGGGCUAUUAUCAUAUGCGGAUGACACAGCCCUAUUGUUUUCCGCUGAAUCGCAAAGUGAAGCAUAUGAAUAUGCCCAAAACGGUUUUAAUGUUGUGUCAAAUUGGCUUAAUCAAAAUCUUCUAACAUAACAUAUAGAUAAAACUAAAUAUAUUUCAUUUUCAAUUAGAAACAUUAAUCCACCGCUUACUAACCUAGAUAUAUUUGCACAUAAUUGCAAUUCUGCUAACAUUGCUUGUACUUGUCCCACUUUAGUUAAAGCUAACCACAUAAAAUAUCUAGGUGUUACGAUUGACACAAAUCUGAAUUUCCGUAAACAUAUCGAGUUACUAUGCAAAAGAGUGCGUAAAUUAAUGUACAUUUUUAAGAACCUACGCCACAUAGCCGACUAUAAGUUAAACAGGUUUAUUUGGCUCUGUGUCAAUCUGCUCUCACCUAUUGUAUUACAUCAUGGGGUGGAACUGCAAAGUCUAUCUUGCUUCCUCUGGAAGGCGCUCAAAGAGUAAUUCUAAAGGUUGCUACUGUAGGGUAUAGCUAAUGUACAUUAUAAUAACAAACAUUUAUACGCAUAAAUAAACAAACAUAAACAUAUCAUUUACAGUCAUACAUACAUAAAUACAUACAUAAAUAAAUAUAAACAUUUACAUACAUACAAAUACACAAAUACAUAUACAUACAAAUCUACAUACUACAUACAUUACAUUCACAUUCUUACCAUACAUACUACUUUAUAACUUUAUUUCAUCUAUACACGGCCUUAUGCCUGCGCACGUAUGUACACGCCCUUAGCUAUACCUACACACCGUCCGGCCGCUAGCGGAGCCCUGGCGCCCGCGUUGACAACAUGCUCGGGACACUUCGGGAGUUCGCGGAGCCGUUCGGCACGCGGCGCGGCCGCCGCCUCCACCCCGCGCUUCACUCGCGCCCCUCGCUCGCCCACGUCAGUGACGUCAGUCCGCCUCGGCUAGCGAUCGCGCGCGCAUCGAAAACUUACUCUCGCGUUAACUUUAUAUAAUUUCGUUGAUCUCACUACUAAUACUGUAUAUUUUAUUAUUUAUUCAAUAUAGACAAUUUAAAGUUAGUGUCUAGUAUUUUAUUUAUUCCAAAUACUAAUAAACACUACACUACCUUCCGCCCUUUUAGGUUUCCCACACACCAACUAAACACUGCAUGUAAAAUACUAACAGUGCGCCAACUAUUUAUAUUGCAAACCGUACUUUAUCAGCACUCUCAGCUUCCUUUAGACCCAGUAUCCCAAACCGGGAGGAGGAGAGAUUUGGUUUACUUUAAACCACAGACAAGACAUGCAUUUGCACAUAGAUUUUACGUAUUUUUAGGACCAUUUUUGUACAACAAGGUCAACAAAAUACUAAAUAUAUAUAGUGUAAAUUAUUAUAAAUGUAGUACAUUGAAGUCAGCAGCGCCAAGCUGUUGCUAUUCCAGUCCUUUGGAAAACUAGACCAGAUGCCGUCUCGUCGCAGACAUGGCACUGAAAAGUGGCGAGAGAGCUAAGUAAAAGGUAACGGGGUUACCUUUGAUUACGUCGAUGUAACGCGACUGCUGAAGAAAAUAAAAUCAUUGAAGACACUGGAAACGGUCGCAUAGUUUCACGGAUAAGCUAUUACUUCUUCGUAGCAUAGCUACACAGGGACAUGUCUGAUGGAAACGCACCCUAAGGGUCGGUUCACAUCUGACGGAACAUGCGUCGCUUAUCAUCGGUCACACUUGACCGUUCACACUCAACCGAUGGUACGUCAGUACGUUGUGUGUGAACGGUCAACUGGUUUUCUAUACAUUUGUCUGUUACGCCAGCGUAGAGCCAGGAACUGUUUGUAACUCACAAUUUAAUAUUUUACCUUUUAUACGUCUUUUAUUGUUUAAAAAAAUAUAUUUUCAGCUUACUUACUUUGGCUGAUUAUUUAAGCAACAAAAUAUUAAUUAUUAUCAAAAUAAAUUAUUUCAGUGUCGCAAGGACAUCAUACAGAUAAGAUUUGCUAUUUACAGUAUGUCAAUAGGUCAUACAGUUUUGGAGAUAAUGUAAAAUUACUAAAAAGCAAAAUCCCGCUCGCACAAGUAACACGCUUUGUGCGGACGUUUUAUCUAUUCACCCAUAGACGGCGUUCUGCAAAUACGUCAUUUUUCUGACUCGCGGUGAUAAGGUUUUCCAUGGAUUGAUGACCGUCUCGAAUUAUUAUCCCCACGUUGACGUUAGUUGGUGUUAAAAAUAAGCCGGCAAACGUUCAGACAGAUCACCUGAAGGUAAGUAAUCGGCCAAAAGCUAGUUAAAUAUAAAAUUGUAAUUAUAGUUAUCCUAAUAACAUACCAAUAAAUCAGAAAUAGAAACAAAUUAAUUCAUUUAUUUUUCUUAGAGCUUUAUUUAAAGCGGCAGAUAAAAGUUUUGGUUCCUGAAAGUGUCUGUUUAUUUUAUAUGAGUUCAGAGUAAUAUUCUGCAAAACAUAUAUAAACAUCAAUCAUAAAAAUUAAGUUAAGUAACUCUGAGUUCGGUUACCUUUCUGGUAC